GUUUACGGCCAUACCAGCCUGGGUACGCCCGAUCUCGUCUGAUCUCGGAAGCUAAGCAGGGUCGGGCCUGGUUAGUACUUGGAUGGGAGACCGCCUGGGAAUACCAGGUGCUGUAAGCA
ensembl:rRNA 5S_rRNA 5S ribosomal RNA